ACUGGAGCAAUGACUCAGCUCACAGUUCUACCCUAUAGCUAUGUUUGUGCCACUACCACCUCCUGCCUCAAAGAAACUCUUGCCAGGGUGAUUUACCAAGGAUAAAGAUGUCUAAUUUAAGUUGGACCAACCCAAUUCUCUUUCUUGGAAAUUUGAAACUAGAAGAGAGCCACAUGGAGAAUGAAGGUCUUAUUUCAACUGUUGUUCAGGAAUGAUCCAAACAAAUUCAGAAGCAGAUUUAAAUGUUAUAGGAUGGGCUGCUGUUGACCUCGCUGCUGACCUUGCUGCUGACCUCACUGCUGACCUUGCUGCUGACUUCACCGUUUCUCCCAAUAUAUGUCAGCUGAGUGGACUUUUGGCUGCCGGACAUGAAGAAAUCAUAUAAUCAAUUAAGCAAUCAAUCAACAAAUAUAUAGUGGACUUCUGCAAUUUGCAAGGCUCUGUGGCAAAUUGUACAAGAAGUGCAUUUUGCCUCCUGCCAUGAUUCUGAGGCCUCCCCAGCCCUGUGAAACUGUAAGUCCAAUUAAACCUCUUUUUCUUCCCAGUCUGAGGUAUGUCUUUAUCAGCAUCAUGAAAACGGACUAAUAUACUAUUCUUAAUUGAUAUGCCCGCACAAAUAUAGAGACACAUAGCAACAUAUAUACACAAAAUGCAAACAAAAUUGCUUGCAGCUUUAAGUAGAUCUAAGUAUACUUUUCCUUCUUCAGUGGGAACAAAGGUGUUGUAAUUGUUGUUUCUACCUACAGGUUAUGCUUCAACAUUGAUUACGUGAUAGUAGCAUUGCCGUUGUGCAGAGAAGGCAAUGCAUUAAUAAUCAUAGAGGGGUACAAAAGUCCAUCAUGGCUAGUAACUCAAAUCUCAAAUGCUCUGACCUUGACCCUAUAGCCUCAAUUUUUCUUAAAAAAAGAUUAUAACCAAAAUUAUAUUUAAACUUUAGGUUGACUUAAAGGUCUUUAAUUAUUUUUAAUGUUUUAAGAUCAUUAAAGAUCCUUGUCAAUCUAAAGUAUAUUAAAGAUAAUAAAACUUCUCAUCUUAACUCUUAUCUUGUGCUUUUUCUAGGAAACUGAAGUAAUAAGAAAUGCUUUGAAUAUACUCAGAACUGUAUCUUAUAAAAGGAUCACAAACACACAAUGCCAGAAGACCUUAGACAAGAGUGUAUGAAGGGCACAAAUGUAGGAGAGAAAUUAGUGAAGACAUAGUACUUUAAAAAUAAUAGACUUUCCCCCUUUUUAUUUAAAUUUUUGUAAGCAAAAACUUAUGAUAGAAUAUUUAGAAACAUAUUAGAGAUACAUAAUUUCAUCCUUAUUUAUUUAUUCAUUUAUUUUUAAGACAGAGUCUUGCUCUGUCGCCCAGGCUGGAGUGCAAUGGCCUGAUCAUGGCUCACUGCAACCUCUACAUCCUGGUCUCAAAUGAUUCUCAUGCCUCAACCUCCCAAGUAGCUGGGACUACAGGCAUGUGCCACCAUGUCUGACUAACUUUUUAUUUCUUUGUAGAGAUGGGGUUUCGCCAGGCUGGUCUCAAACUCCUGGACUCAAAUGAUCUGCAUGACUUUUCCUCCCAAAGUGCUGAGAUUACAGGUGAAAGCCACCAUGCUAGGCCUCAUUCAUGCAUUUAAAUAGUAAAUGGAGUGAUUGUAUUCUAAAUUUGCUAGGGCUUCUAUAACAAAGUAACGCAGACUGGGUGGCUUGAGUAACAGAAAUUUAUUUUCUCACAUUCUGGAGGAUGGAAGUCCAAGAUCAAAGUGCCAGCAGAGUGGUUUUGUCUUCCUUGGUUUGUAGAUGGCCAUCCUCUUGCUGCCUCAUCACACUGUGUCUGUGCACACCUGGGGGCUCUCCGUGUAUCUAAAUUUCCACUUCUUAUAAGAAAACCAGUCAGAAUGGAAUAAAGUCUUCCUCUAUGACCUCAUUUUAACUUAUUACCUCAUGCCCUAUCUCCAAAUACAGUCACAUUCUGAGUUACUGGGUGUUAGGGUUUAAACACAUGAACCUGGAUGAGGGGACACAAUUCAGCCUAUAGAAGUGACUUUAAUUGCGAAGAGCUUAGAGUUUCUUUAAAUCUAGAAUCUAGUGCAACUUCUUCAAAAUUUUCACUCUAUAUAAAUUAACCAUGAUCUAAUUUGCUAAUAAAAUGCAUUUAUUUAUUAAAAUGACAUUCCUGAAUUAGCUUUAUAGGACAAUAUACACACAUGUGUACAUAUUUGAGUAUAUAUACAUGCAUACAUACACUAAACAUAUAUGUUAGAGUAUUGGAGAGACAGCAAGGCAGUAUGGUUAUGGCUACGUGUUAUUCAUCCACACAUUUACAACCAAAAGUAUAGGUUUAUUUAUUGACCAAUUAGAUAUGGCCAAAUGAAUAACCAAAAUAGUACAUUUUCAUCAUGCUGAAAUCUUUCCUUUUAAAAAUGCACUUGACUAAGUUUCUCUUUUAGAUUAACCUACAAUUUUAUUUCUACAUUCAGCUUCAUUUUUGGAAACAUUUGAAUAGACUAAAAUAAAUUAUUUGCAGUUGUACUGUGAGUUCAAAGUAAUCUCAAGUACGUUAAGACCUCCCAUUGUUGUGGAUCAUAUUUUCCAAAAAUGGCUACAACAAUAUUCCUAGUCCGACAGACCCUUGUAACUUUCCAGCCAAGAGUAGUUUAUCUCUCCUCUAGACACAGUUUUUAAAACUUGAUGGACCUUUGUGAAUGCUUGAACAAAUAGAAUGCAGCAGAAGCGAUAUUAUGGGAUUUCGGAGAACAUGUCAUAAAAAAAUAUAUAGUCUCUCUCUCACUUUCUUUUUCUCCAUCUCUCAUUCUGGAACCCUGAGCAACUAUGUAAGAAGUCUGGCUGCCAUGAUGCCACCAUGCUGGAGGGACCACAUGGACAUACCAUGAAGAUAUAUAGAGAAAUGCUUUAGAAACCUCAGCUGUUCCGUCUUUCAGCUAUUUGAGUCUUCCUAGGCCAAGGGCCAGAUAUAUAAACAAAGAAGACUUGAUGGUGACUCCAGCCUUAGUCAACGUCUAACUGCAACCACGUGAGAGACUUUCAACCAGAACUAUGCAGUGGAGCUGCUUCUGAACUCCUGACCCAUAGAAACCAUGAAUGAUAAUAAAUGAUUGCUGUUUUCCUUAAAUGUUUGGUCGCAUUUCUCAGUGAAAUCAUCUGUGCCUAGAAUUUUCUUUCUAGAAAAGUUUCAAACUCCAAAUUCAAUUCUUA
rnacentral:lncRNA from 1 species